rnacentral:tRNA from 1 species
UUUGUCGUGGUCAAGUUGUUAAGGCGAUGGACUAGAAAUCCAUCGAAAUCUUCCCGCGCAGUUUCGAAUCCUGUCCACAACG